rfam:Schistosoma haematobium scaffold971_10, whole genome shotgun sequence.
ACCCAGCUGACGAGUCCCAAAUAGGACGAAAGGCGCAUCCUGGAU